rnacentral:lncRNA from 1 species
AUCUAUCUUGUGACCUUUCAGCUGUUCAGCAGUAAAACAGAAACUUAGAGAACUUACAAAAUAUGCAGAGGUUUUCUGCCCUUGCUGGAGAGGAAUUUCAAUCAUUUGGAGAAGAUGAGGUCUGCUGCAGUUUGCGGGAGGUCCACUCCAGACCCUGUUUGCCUGGGUGUCACCAGUGGAGGCUGCAGAACAGAAAGGAUUGCCACCUGCUCCUUCCUCUGGAAGCUUCAUCCCAGAGGGACACUGGCCUGAUGCCAGCCACAGCUCUCCUGUACAAGUGUUUAUUAUAUCCCUCUAUAUGGCCAUGUGUACUCAUCGUUCACCUUCCACUUACAUGUAAAAACAUAUGAAUGUUGCAUAUGCUGAGAAGAAUGUGUAUUCUACAGAUGCUGGAGGAAAUGUUCUGCAAAUAUCUAUUACAUUUAUUUGCCCUAUUGUAUAAAGUAAUGAUUGUGAUUCUUUUUAAAUUUUUAUUCUAGAUUAUCUGCCUUCUAGAUAAUGAAAUUGUAAAAGUCUGUUUUGUGAUAAAAAUGUCUUGAAGCCUUCAGCUGAUCUUUAGGAUUUUACUCUAUUGUUUAAAAUGUAUAAAUUUAAGUGUACAAUGCAAUUUUAUUACAUGAUCAUAUUGUGUAGUGAUAAAGUCAUGGUUUUAGUGUAUUAAUCAUCUGAAUAAUGUACAUUGUACUCAUUAAGUAUGUCUCAUCAACCAAGCUCUUUCCAUCCUUCCACAUUUCUGACUCUCCAAUGUGUAUCAUUCUAUACUUUAUGCCCAUGCUUACAAUAUUGUGAAUAUACAGUAUUUGACUUUAUGUUUCCAAGUUUGUUUGUUUUAGAUCAUGGCCUCCAGUUUUAUACAUGUCAAUAGAGAGGACAUGACUUUAUUCUUUUCUAUAAUGAAAUUGUAUUUUAUUAUGUUUAUGUAGCAUAUUUGUUUAAUCUAAUUAUAUGGUGAUAAUCAGUUUAGGUAAUUCUAUUGUUUUACUACUGUGAAUAAUGCUGCAAUACUUAUAUGAUAUGUAUUUUAUAUAAUGAUUUUAAUAUCUUUGAUAGAUACCCAGUAGUGGGAUUGCUGGAACAAGUGGUACUUACAGUUUUAGUUCUUUGAUAAAUAACCAUUCUGUUUUUCAUAGAGCUUAUACUAAUCUAUAUUCCCACCAACAGUAUUAAGCAUUCUUUCUUAGCAUCCUCAUCAUCUGUUUUUCUUUUUAUGUAAUAGCCAUUUUGAGUGGUGUAAUAUGAUAUCUAUCUUACGGUGGUUUUAGUUUGCAUUUCUUUGAUCAUUAGUGAUGUUGAACAUUGGCUUAUAUGCAUGCUGGCCUUUGGAUGUCUUCUUUUGAUAAAUGACUAUUCAUAUUAUUAAUAGCUUUUAUUAUCCUUUCAAAACUUAAAUUUUGGUUUUCACAAACACAUGAAGGUUUCUUACACAGUUAAACUCAGGUCAUAGGGAUGAGUUGUAAAGAUUAUUUCAUCACCUGGAAAUUAAGCCCAAUACCCAAUAGUUAUCUUUUCUGCUUGUCUCCCUUUUUCUUCCCACCAUCCUCAAGUAGACCCCACUGUCUGUUAUUUCCUUCUUUGUUUUAACAAGUAUUACUUAGCCCUAACCUUUGAUGAAAACUAUUGGUUUUCUCUUCCAGCAUUAGCUUACUCAGAUUAAUACCCUCCAUCUCCAUCCAUGUGCCUGCAAAAAAAAAACAUAAUCUUGCUUUUUUAUAUGUAUAUUGGCAUAGUAUUCCAUGGUAUAUAUAUGCCAUAUUGCUUUAUUCUAUCAUUAAUGAACAUUUAUAUUAAUAUCAUGUCUUUGCUAUUGUAAAUACUGCUGCUAUGAAUAUUCAUGUGUAUGUCUCUGUGUGGUAGGAUGAUUUAUGUAUCAUCCUUUGGUACACACUUAGUCAUAAAAUUGCUUAGCCAAAUGGUAGUUCUGCUUUUAGCCUUUUGCAGAAUCACAAUACUGCUUUCCACAAUGCUUGAACUAAUUUAUGCACCCACAAACAGUGUAUAUAUGUUUCCCUUUCUCUGCAGUCUUGCCAGCAUCUGUUACUAUUUCACUUUUUAGUAAUAGCUUUUCUGACAGCUGUGAGAUUGUAUCUUAUUGUGGUUUUGAUUUGCAUUUAUCUAAUCAUCACUGAUAUUGAGCUUUUUUUAUACAUGAUUAUUGGCAGCAUGUAUGUCUUCUUUUAAAAAAAAUCUGUUCAUGUCCUUUUCCCAUUUUUAAUGGGGUUUUCUAUUGGAAUUGUGUUAAAGUUCUUUAUAGAUGUUGGGUAUUAGACUUUUUCAGAUGCAUAGUUUGCAAAAUUUUUCAGAUUUUUGUCAGAUGCACAGGUUGCAAAAUUUUCUCCCAUUCUGUAGGUUGUCUGUGUACUCUGUUGAUAGUUUCUUUUGCUGUACAAAGUAACAUUUUAAUGGUUUUAUUUGUUUUUCCUGUUGCUUGAGUUUAUUAUAUAUUCUAGAUAUCAGUGUAUUUCUUUUGUUUCUACCCUGACCUUUGUAAUUUAUAAUUUUCUACACAUUGUGAGUAGUUUCAUUUUGUUUUCCUAAAACUCUGAGUUGUCUUAUUUGACUUUUUAGAGCUUUUUACUUUUAAGUGUUGGAAUUUGUUGCUAUCAACUUUUCUAUUUUAGCGAUAUUUGAUUUUUCUUUUUAAUUUUAUAUAUUGUGUUUACUUUUUUAUUUGUCUCAACAUUUAAACAUUUUUAUUUUUACUUUUUUUGGUUCAUUGAUUUUUCAGGAGCAUGCUAUUUAAUUUUUACAUAUCUGUAAAUUUC